AUUCCAUCAAAUAAUAUUAUAUUAUUAUCUAACAGGAUCUAAUGUAUUUGAUUAAAGAAUUUAAUAGUUGAUAUUUGAGGUUCCAAUUUCGUGGUAUAGUUAAUUUAUGCUUCUAACUAAGUUUAUUUUUUUAAAAAAUAAACAAAAGGAAUACUAUACCAACUUUCUCUAAAUAAAAAUAUUAUACUAUAACUAUCUCUAUCUCUCUUUCUCUCUCUAAAAAAUUCAUCUCUCUCUCUCUCUCUCUCUCUAGAAAAUUGAAAUUUG
rnacentral:lncRNA from 1 species